rnacentral:rRNA from 1 species
GACGAACCGUGCGAACGUUGUUCGGAAUCACUGGGCUUAAAGGGCGCGUAGGCGGGUUUGCAAGUCUGUGGUGAAAGCCUCCAGCUUAACUGGAGAAGUGCCGUGGAUACUGCGAAUCUUGAGGAGGGUAGGGGCGUCUGGAACGGUCGGUGGAGCGGUGAAAUGCGUUGAUAUCGACCGGAACUCCGGUGGCGAAGGCGGCUCACUGGCCCGGUACUGACGCUGAGGUGCGAAAGCGUGGGGAGCAAACAGG